UAAUAGAAAUCAAGAACUUAAACUCCAUCAGAUGGUCGGGAAAGAUGAAGGCGCAUACUUGUAAGGACCCGAAGAAGUAUUAUCAAUUCCAUUAGGACUAUGCGCAUGACAUUAUGGACCACUUCCAAGUGAAGAAGGAAAUAAAAGCCUUCAUCAAGUGAGGCUUCCUUGGAACCUACAUCCACCACUAGCAGGACAAGGAGGCACCAGGACAGAAGCAACCAACUUCCAAGCUCUUACUUGAUAAUCGACCUACUAUUAAGGUCAUCAAUAUCAUAGCGGACGAAUAUAUAGCUGAUGACUCCAGCUUAUUCGUGAGAAAGAUCUUUGCCUAUGUAGCCC
rnacentral:lncRNA from 1 species